GUGGUGGGCACCAUAUGACGUCGCUGUAGUCCUUCAACAUCAUCCACAUAAUCCCGCUGUAAAUUUAUACAUAUUUAUAUGUAUAUAUUAUUUUGUUUUUG